GCAAUUUGUACAAGAUUUAAGUAAGAAAAGUCAGAAGAAGAGGAUCUGUAGGAGCAGGUCAACCAUGGCCAGAUGCACACGUAUUUGAUGAAAUGCAGCAAUGAAGGUGACUUUCCAUCAUAAGGUCUUAGACCAAGCACCAUGCUGCGGGUAGUCCCGGCCUCUACACAAGUGCUUCUCCGCAAGCAUGAGCGCAUCCAGUAGCGGCGAGGUCGACAUCCUGGUCGCUCCUUUCUUCGUUUUUGCUAGGACUUCCUGUUGUGCGAUUAUACCUUGUUUUUUGUGCCUAGCUGACAACCAUUAUGCCGCUGUUAUAAGUCCGUCUAGGGAUGAUCACGGCAUCACCGGUUGGAUGGGCUUGAAGAUUGGUCUUGAGGGUAAUGAGUAGAAAAAAAAUCAUUUUGUGAGUCAAUUGGAUUGGCUCAGUUUAUUUGAGAAGGCGGAAAUAACUCAAUGAAAGACAUAUAUUUUGUUAUGGGAAUAGCCAUUUACGUUUUCUUGAUAUGGGACCCCGUGCCACCUAUCGUCACCGAGCUCCUCUGCAUCCACCAUGUCCCUCCUCGUCAUGUGUGGUGGCCAGAAGGCUCGCUUUACUGGAAGCGAGACAGACAAAGAGGCCAAGUCAUAUGCGCCAUCGUCGCCCAAGUUGUGCACUGCCAUAGAGACGAACAAGGAGGGGCCAUCGCCAUCAUCCUUUCCCCUCAGUUUCCACAACAGAGCCCCUCAAACGCCACUGAGAGUCGACCUCGACGACGUCGUCAUUCUCUCCUCAGGCUUGCCCCUUGCUAUGUAUAGCAUCAGUGAUCGACUGAGACUACACAAAAAGAAAAUAAAACUCCACUUGAUGUCGAAGUCGAAACAAUGCAGGACGACAGGACGGAGGCGCAUCGGUGGAAAACUGGUCCUUGCUCCGGUUCAUCAGGGAGGACAACGGUCAGGGGAACAUCUGCAAGGCCUCAUCUACGGUUUCUUCUUCGCUGAAGAUGUUGGCGUGCCUUCGUCGGGCUAUCUCUCUCUGUGGAAUCCUGCUACGCGGCGAGGGCGGAGAUCAGGUUGCUGCCGCAGUUCACAAAUGCCAUGGUCUGAAUUGACCGGUCAUAUUGGGCUCACAGGUUAAUGUCUGUUUUUGUCCUUGACUGAUUGCUUUUUCAAGGUGGUUUCAUAUAUUUGUUGGGAGUAACCAU